CGGGGCGGCCACCGUAGAGCCCCGGGCGGGGGCGCCGGCGGCGGCUACGCGGAGGCGCUGCCUGGCCGUGCCGGCGGGGGGCGGUUCCUCUUCCAGCGCUUCCUCCUCGCCGGCGCGGGGCCGCUGCCGAGCGUUACCGGGCUUACGCCAAGCAGCCUCCAGAUCUCGCCGGAGUAACGCCGCAAGGAGAGCCUCGAGUUACUGCAGCGCGAAGAUUCAUGGCAGUGGGAAGAAAAAAGGGCCUGCAACUGACAAACAAAAAAAAAAAAUAAAAAGGAAGGAGACAGAGGGGACAAGAGCAGCCAGGACAAAAUGGAAGAGGGAUUUCCUGUGGAUGUUGCUUGAAUUGUGCAUUCAGCCCUGUGUGGAAUAUGCAUUAGUGUUCACAGAUCAGCAGAAAACACAUGUGCAUUUUAAUAUCUACUUACAUGCUAUGUCACAGACACAAAUAAAACUUGAUUUAAGAGUAUUAA